UAACAAGGAUUCCCCUAGUAACUGCGAGUGAAGCGGGAAAAGCUCAAAUUUAAAAUCUGUCAGCCUUUGGCUGUCCGAGUUGUAAUCUAGAGAAGUGUUAUCCGCGCUGGACCGUGUACAAGUCUCCUGGAAUGGAGCGUCAUAGAGGGUGAGAAUCCCGUCUUUGACACGGACUGCCAGGGCUUUGUGAUGCGCUCUCAAAGAGUCGAGUUGUUUGGGAAUGCAGCUCAAAAUGGGUGGUAAAUUCCAUCUAAAGCUAAAUAUUGGCGAGAGACCGAUAGCGAACAAGUACCGUGAGGGAAAGAUGAAAAGAACUUUGGAAAGAGAGUUAAACAGUACGUGAAAUUGCUGAAAGGGAAACGCUUGAAGUCAGUCGCGUUGUCCAGGGAUCAACCUUGCUUUUGCUUGGUGUACUUUCUGGUUAACGGGUCAGCAUCAAUUUUGACUGUUGGAAAAAGAUCAGGGGAAUGUGGCAUCUUCGGAUGUGUUAUAGCCCUUGGUUGCAUACAAUGGUUGGGAUUGAGGAACUCAGCACGCCGCAAGGCCGGGUUUUAACCACGUACGUGCUUAGGAUGCUGGCAUAAUGGCUUUAAUCGACCCGUCUUGAAACACGGACCAAGGAGUCUAACAUGCCUGCGAGUGUUUGGGUGGAAAACCCGAGCGCGUAAUGAAAGUGAAAGUUGAGAUCCUUGUCAUGGGGAGCAUCGACGCCCGGACCAGACCUUUUGUGACGGUUCCGCGGUAGAGCAUGUAUGUUGGGACCCGAAAGAUGGUGAACUAUGCCUGAAUAGGGUGAAGCCAGAGGAAACUCUGGUGGAGGCUCGUAGCGAUUCUGACGUGCAAAUCGAUCGUCAAAUUUGGGUAUAGGGGCGAAAGAC
rnacentral:rRNA from 1 species